rnacentral:rRNA from 1 species
GUCCACCACCGUGCCACCCUGAACGUGUUCAAUCUCAUCUGAUCUCAGGAGCUUAAGCAGGGUCGGACCUGGUUAGUACUUGAAUGGGAGACCAUGUGGGAAUACCGGGUGCUGUAGGCU